rnacentral:rRNA from 1 species
AUCCUGGCUCAGAGCGAACGUUAGCGGCAGGCUUAACACAUGCAAGUCGAGCGAGAAAGGGGCUUCGGCUCCGAGUAAGCGGCGGACGGGUGCGUAACACGUGGAUAAUCUGCCUCGUGGCGGGGGACAACAGUCCGAAAGGACUGCUAAUACCGCAUGUCAGGUCGGAAAACUCCGGUUUCUGACGAAAAAGAGGGCGCCCGCAAGGGGCUCUCACCACGAGAUGAGUCCGCGUCCCAUCAGCUAGUUGGCGGUGUAAUAGACCACCAAGGCUUAGACGGGUAGCUGGUCUGAGAGGAUGACCAGCCACACUGGGACUGAGACACGGCCCAGACUCCUACGGGAGGCAGCAGUGGGGAAUAUUGGACAAUGGGCGAAAGCCUGAUCCAGCCAUGCCGCGUGAGUGAUGAAGGCCUCGGUCGUAAAGCUCUGUGGGAGGGACGGAAAAA